ensembl:snRNA U6 U6 spliceosomal RNA
GUGCUUGCUUCAGCAGCACAUAUACUAAAAUUGGAAUGAUACAGAGAAGCUUAGCAUGACCCCUGCACAAGGAUGACAAGCAGAUUUGUGAAUUGUUCCAUAUUUUU